UUUUUUUCGCUGGUUUUUUCGUCACCUACCCCACCCCACCGGUUUAGUUUCGCGUCAUCCUCACACACAACAAAAAAAUUUGAACGAAUCAGAACUUUCCUUUCUGACGCAAGUUAUUAAGAAAUGUCUUCAUGUGAAAGAAUCAAUCACGAUCAAUCUCUAAAGACCAAAUCUAAAUUAAUUAACCUUACCUUAAAUUGCUCGAUCACAUUAAUUAGGAAACAAAUCUCUACUCUUAAUGUCUGAGUUGGUGAAUAACAUCCACGGUUUAUUUUCGCUGAUUUUUUUUUGUCCCCGUCUCACCAUCUCCCUCAUUUUAAAUUUUUUCUCCUUCGCAACUAAAACCGAAUCGCGUCCGAUCCUCUUUUCAUUUAUUCGUGCUUACUUUGGUAGGUGUCGAUUGAAUUCAAUCAUGUAAAUAUUUGGUAAUUAAGAAUUCAAAAAUAAUAUCAUAUACAUGGGACCAGCUUCCAAACAAAUCACCUACCUUUUCAUUUAUUUUUUUCACCGAUCCCCUUCCAUACUUAGCUCCUUCGAACACGCACUAGACGCGCUUAUCUUUUCUCCUGAGCAUAAGUCGUUCGUUCGUCAUCCUCAAAAAAAGACCAAACGUGAAAACCUACGCAGGACCUCCCUCCCGGCUCCCGUGAUCCCUAGCUAGCCCGCGCUCAUCCCCUUCUACACCAGCAGCCGCCGCCCCCGCCCCGCACCCCUUGCCCUCCCUCCCUACCUUUUCCCAGCCGAGCGCCCCAUCCACCUAACACAAAGGGCAACGCCGCGGCUGGGCAGUCCAGGAGGCGAGCGAGGCAGCGAGCAAAGUUUUUCAUGGAUCGAUCGAUACAUGUGUGAUUGCGUUUGCCUCUUCCUCAGCUGGCUGAUCGAGCCUCCUCUACGUGCCCUCCCUCGGCCCCUCGGCAGCUCGUCGCCGCAGGCAGGUAUCCACACGUGAUGCCUAUGCGCUGCACGCCAUUCCUCUCUGCAGGUGCCGCCAUGGCCGUGUCAUGGAGCUCGCCGCCGCGCCUUCCAACGACGCCCUGCGUCCAGGCAUGGCGAGGGCGCUAGAUGGCAGGAACGGCCGCAUCAAGGAGGCAGCUAGGGACGGUGGCUCCAGGGCUCUACACGCCGUUGCCAGCCACGGGAGGAUGCCGGUGUGUGUUUACCUGCUCGAGAAGCAUGUUCAACGAAAAUGUCAACGAACCUUUGGCCAUAGCUUCUUCCUCUUCUCACAACAAGUGAGUUCUCUCUCCACUAGCAUAUGUGCUAUCAGUAAUCACCGCUCUAGAAUUCUGAAUAUAUUUCUAUAUGAUAUCCAGCCGGUAAUCGUGCAGGCUUUUGUCUAAAGUUUUUUCUUUUGCAAUUUGCAAUGUACAAAGUUUGAAUAUUACAGAAACUGCUGGCAUCUAAUUUUCCAUCAUAUUAUAUUUUACGCAUAAGUUUUGUAUCUCCUUUCUAUUGAGUAAAUGGUGAAUAGAUCCUUUUUGUGAAUUAAACAUAAUUCAGAGAUGAUAAUGACUAUGUAGCUUGCAUUGCAUGUAUGGUGGUGUAUCUAUUGAGCUGGAGAAUAUUUUAGAAUUCAUUCACUUGCAGCGAUGGCAAUGACCAACACAGUUUUUUCGUUUUCUGUUUUGUUCCUACGUUCUGGUUGGUACCGGUGUAGAUUUUCUUCCUCAAUAAAAUACAUAGAAGUAGAUCGGAUUGGUCACAAAUAUCUUACUACUUCAGCAGCAGUUAUGUUUUUCCAACUGAAAUCAUUUUCCUUGCUAGGCGCUAGCUAUACCUGACAACAGGUAAGAGACGUGUUGUUGGCAACUCACCCUUAGUUACAGUUGAGGUACUUGCACAAAAGACGCGUGAAAAUGUUUGAUUUUAACAUUGUUUUACCGUAUGCUUUGAUUUCAUCGGGAAAGAGGAGAAGACGAGAGGAAGAGAGUCCCUAGGGGUAAGUAUCGCCGAGCACAACAGGUUGAAACAAAAAUACUGAGAUGGUGUUGAGAACAGAAAAUAGGAGAAAUAGUCCAAUGUUUUACACAAAAUGUUGUGACACAUGCACAUGACAUAGAUAUUUUAAUCAAUAUCUCAUUUAAUGAACUAAUCAAGAAAGACAAAAAAAUAGAUUGACUCAUGAUGAAAAAUAUGUUCGGCUUGAUUUGUACUAUCAAUUUUUGUCGCAACACAGUCAUAAGUCGCAUGUGACGUUCACAUUGUGAAUUGAAAUGAUGUUUUGAUUAGUGUCUUAGUUUGUUGUUUCAUGGUAGCACGGGCAUUCACCUGUGUUAGUUUUUCAUCUUGAAUGGAAGUAACUUUGUUUUCUAAUUGAUUGAGCAUAUGAAUUUAUGAAGUAUUGGUUGUGUAUGCUAAUUCUGACGGAUGGAAUCCUUUGCUUUAUAGCAUCAUGCACUAAUAUCUCUACCCCUAAUGUCUAAGUUGGUAGAAUAGUCUUCACGAAUUUUUUUCGUCCCACCAUUUUGGUCCGGUUUUUUCGUUGGUUUUUUGUCCCCACCCCACCCCACGCAAGCACCCCAAAAAAAACAACCCGCACAAACACCGAUCCUAUCGAUCCCCUGGAGGACAUGCAGCCACCGUCGUGUGAUCUUCCUCACACAGACGCACGAGAUCGCCGCCGCCGACCUCACAGAGAAGACGCCGCCGAAUCUUGUACACGUACGAGAUCGCCAGAUCCCUAGAACGCCGCUGAUCUAUUCACUACAUCGACGGAAACCAAGCGCUACACUAGAAACCAGGCCGAUCCCAGAGCGAGAAGAAGAAGGAGAAGAGGGUCUCCAUGGCUCAUCAGGCGUCGGCGGGCAGCGAUGACACGCGGCUGCGAAGGUGUUCGUGGAUGGCCUGGCGUGGAAGAUGAGCAAGGAGGGUGUGCACGACCAGUUCGAGCUCUUCGGCGAGAUCCUCGAGGCCGUCGUCAUCGCCAACAAGGGCACCGACAUAUCCAAGGCCGCGGAUUCGUGAGUACCCACCCAAACAAUUCUCUCUUCCCCUCAUCAUCGAUUCAUGUUCAGUAGUUAAUUCUCUUGUUUAAUUCAGCCCCGUUAGUUGAUGCUAUGCCUAGAUGGAUGCUUGGCAGGUUACAUUUUGGGAGGCGGAGGCGGCCAUUAGGGCGUGCUUCGGUCCGUAUCGGUGAUUGACGACCGGAGGACUAACUGCAACCUCGCCCGCCUCAGGGUCCAGAGGUCCAAGGCCCCACAACCAACUGCCUCUGCAUCCAUAUGCUGCAAUCAAGUUACCAAAUCUGAAGCAUUUUAGCAAGGCAACGGUACAUGUGCUCUUUUGGUGGAAGAUGAAGCUUUUGUUGGUAAUGUGAUGUUUUUUCUGAAGAAGACUGACAACCCUGCAUCAUGAGAUCGCCAAAGUCCAGUCUCGUUUCUACUGGGCAGGCGACAACGAUAGAUAGAAACACCAUAUGGUCAGCUGGACGGACAUCUGCAAGCCUCGGGAGUAGGAGGGCUUGGGAUCAUGUGCUUUAAGCACAUGAACAUCGCCCUACUAUCCUGCUUGCUUUGGCGGAUUGCCCAAGGGCAAGGUGGCCUCUGGUUAGACAUUAUCCGAAAUAAAUACCUUCGUGGACAGCCAACUUGCCUUCUGCCAGAGAACUGGCGGCUCCCAGUUCUGGCAGUCGGUCAUCCAGCUGCUCCCGGUGCUUUGCAUCGGGACAUCCAUCUCGGUUGGAUCUGGAGCUACGACUCUGUUCUGGUUUGUCCGCUGGGUGGGCGACUCCCCCUUCGCUGUGCGCUCCCCCGACCUCUUCUCCAUCGUCGUAGAUCCUAGGAUCUCGGUUGAGAGGGUCCUUAUUGACUUAGGGUGUCUCGCCUUCCGGAGACCAUUUGGGCCUCUGGAAACUGCCGACUGGCAGGAGCUGCUUGACUGCAUUGCCCUCCACGAGCCACAGGUUGACGCUGGCCCGGAUUCUGUUCGGUGGCGCCUAGAGCCGUCGGGACAAUUCUCCACCAAGUUCCUCUACUGGGCUAUCGCCCCCUCCUCCGCCCCACCUCCCCUCACGGCGGUUUGGCAUGUCCGCCUUCCCCUGAAGAUCUGAAUCUUCAUGUGGCAAUGGAUCCGCGGACGGAUUCCGUCUGGCGUAGAGGUCCGCAAGCGCAAUGGCCCCGGUACCGGCCUUUACCCGCUUUGUGGCGUCCCUGAAGACUCGAAUCACAUCUUCUUCACUUGCUUUUCCGCCCAAUUUCUUUGGGGCUGUUUUCGUGAGGUGGUUGGUGGCAACUGGUGCCACACCAAUUUCCCCGACAUGUUCGCUGAACUCCAGGCCUCCUCCCCGCAUUCUCGCCACAUUAGGUGGUUGGAGAUUGGGACUCUUGCUUGGACCCUCUGGACGAUCCGCAAUAGAUUUGUGAUCUAGCGCAUUCCGCUUCAGCGUGCUACUGACGCUCUCUUCAAACUGUCUGGUUACUUGCAGCUCUGGCAGCCGCUUAGCCGCCCCAGGAUCGGGACGCCAUCUCUGCCUUCAUCGCCGACCUCCGCUCGAUGGUCGUCCACUUAUCGCCGCCGCUCCCUCCGCCACCUCCCGAGCCGGAUUAGGGGUCGGGUCCCUCCCCGGCCCCAUUUUGUGUUUAUUUUGGGCUUGUUGAGGUGUGCCCUCAGCAAAACCUUUUGUACUCUGUCUUGUGAGACUUGUGUGUGUGUGGUGUGAACCUUCUUGUGUACUGGUGCUAUGUGGCGGUUUGCUUUAUUUAUAAAGCAGGGCGAAAGCCUUUUUCGGUUUAACUCAAAAGACUGACAAUUAACCAUGGAAAAGUAGUGCAUCAUGGAAAGUUCACCACUAGAAAAAUCAACAGAGUCUACAGCUAAGAGAGAUAAUUUUAAAAUUUCUUGUUACUUACAAUUCCUGUAUUGGGUUAAGAAUGUAGUGCUUACGGUGCAUAUUGUAUAUAUAGUAUUUGGAUGAUCAGAUGGGUCUUCUUCUACAUGGUGACUAUUAACGCAAAAGGAUUGCACUUCUAUCUCAACCACUACAUUUGGUUACUCAGAUUACUGGAUUGUACCGUGCAAAACUACGCCAACAGAACCAAAUGCUUCCGCUGCAAUGCGCCCAAAUCAUACUAUGGUUAAAAAGACAGGCCUGAAAAGAAAAUUAAAAAAUGGAAGUAUUAUUGGUGCAAUGAACAAUCAUGAGUCCUCAAGGAUUUUUCCUUUUUUUUUUCUCCUAAAGAAAAACCUUCGCCAACCCGAGGGUUUAGUCAUGGAGUCCUGCUACACACGACAAUUUAUGCACGAUGUUUGCACGACGAGACAAUCAAGCCGUCCAUGCAUGCAGCAGACGGCAGCACAGCGUUAGUCAUGUGGAAGAGGAGCGGUAAGCCGCCGCUCAGACUCAGAAAAGGGAGAUAAGUGGGCACAAGCGUGUACGUGUGCGCGUGUUUUUGGCUGAGGACCAAUAUCCGAUUUUCCUUUUUCAGUAAAAGAAAGAGAAAAUUCCAGUUUGGCUUCAUUUGUACGUGCACCAACUUUUGAGUGAACUCCUGUGUGUGUGAGAUUAAUUGUUCCU